AACAAUUAUACAAUAUGAAGAAAUAGGCAGAAGAUGGCAGUACAGUAGCGACCAAGAGGAGAAGUAAAUAAAAGAUGAAUGCCUUGAGCUGUAAGCAAAAAUGGCGUGUACAUCCGGGACUGCGAUUUACACCCUCGCUCUCCCUCCAAGACGAUGAUUAAGAAAAAGAAACUUGAAAAAUUUGAGCGUCGGAGGAGACGACAAACGGUGAAUAUUUUAAAAAAGACAGUAAAACGACAACGCACCUGC
rnacentral:lncRNA from 1 species